UAUAAGAAAUCUAAAUUAUUUAGAAAUAUCAUAUUCAUAAUAUUCAUAUGUUACUGAAGAUUUUCUCAAGAAUUUUUUUGAUUGGAACUCUAAAUAAAUAUGGAUGAGUGUAAAGCGUGCUCUUAAACUUUGAGCAUCUCUUGAAAUCUAAAUUAUUUAGAAAUAUCAUAUUCAUAAUAUUCAUGUUACUGAAGAUUUUUUUUAUCUUGAUUUCUGAAAUAAUUCUUCAUCUCUUCGACGCUUGUUAAGCGUGCUCUUAAACUUUGAGCAUAUAUGUGAUCUUCUUGUUGAUUGUAGGAGUCUCUGAAUACAUGUGCAAAUCUUGGGGGUUCAACAUACAAGGUGGGUGAAAGUUUUGUUAUCCACCUUGUUACUCCCACUACAUGAGCUUUCAUCCUUCUUUGAAAUUCGGAUGCCUACUGAUUUCCUUGAGCGUAUGUCGUCUGCUGUUGCACAUGAGCAUUGAUGGACACUUUUGGACCUAUCAUUUCGUUAUCUGGGUAGAUGGGUACUCCGGCUCUCCUGACAGUUCAUUAAUAACACAAAAAUGUUAGAACAGAAUUUGAUUCUGCAACAUAUCUCUAAGUUUUGAUGAUAAUAAAGAAUGAAACAAAUUGGUACCCUAAUAAUUUUCUCUAAGUGUGCAGGUUUCUAAGGUAAAAUGAAUAUGAGGAAACUAAUAUUUGGCAUCUGACGCAGUCCAGAAAAGCUAAUCCAGCACGAAGAAAUCAAAUCUGAAUCUAAACAAGAACACCUCUAAGAAGCAAACACACAAAAUCUGACGUUGAAGUUCAACUCUGAUAUCUGAAGACUAUUUAAAAGAAUCUAUCUGAAGACUACUCAAAAAAAUCUAUUUGUAGACUAUUCAAAAGAAUCUAUCUGUAGACUACUCAAUAGGAUCUAUCUGAAGACUAUUCAAAAGAAUAUAUCUGUAGACCACUUAAGAGAAUCUAUCUGAAGACUAUUCAAGAUAACAUCUGAAGAACAAUUAAAAAAGAAUCUAUCUGAAGAAUAUUCAAGAGAAUUUUUGGAGACUGCAAGUUUCUGCUCAAAGACUCUGACUCUGCUCACUCUGAUUCACGCUCAACACUCUAUCUAAUAUCACCAGAUCAGAAGACUUAAUCAAGAAGCAUUCUAAGUGUGGUACAAUUAUCUUUAAGGAAAUUAUGGAUUAUGUUCUAAGACUGCUAUGGAAAGGACAAGAAAAUUAAUAACAUUAAUUCCCAUAGUUGUCAAGAAAUAUUCUUUGAUUUCCCUCCAACGGUAUCAUCUCAAAGCAAUAUAUAAAGGCCUCAUUGUAUCAUACUAGAGACAUACAAUUGGACAAUAAAUUUGAUAAAAAAAUACUCAGCAUAUUUUCAUUGUAAUAUUCAGUAAUCACACAAGAGUUGUUUCUCAUAUUGUGUUGGUCAUUGUUUUAUUGUUCUUAAUUGUGUUUACACUGCUUACCUAGAAGCACUAAGGUAAACACCUGUAAUUUCUCUAAAAAAAAUUAUAUUCCUCAAGUGACUUGUUUUAGCCUGUAGACUUGAGAGAGCUAAGAGAUUGUUAAAAUCUUAGACGUU